CAGCCGCCGCGGUAAUACGGAGGGUGCGAGCGUUAAUCGGAAUUACUGGGCGUAAAGCGUACGCAGGCGGUUUGUUAAGUCAGAUGUGAAAUCCCCGAGCUUAACUCGGGAACUGCAUUUGAAGCUGGCAGGCUAGAGUCUCGUAGAGGGGGGUAGAAUUCCAGGUGUAGCGGUGAAAUGCGUAGAGAUCUGGAGGAAUACCGAUGGCGAAGGCAGCCAUCUGGCCUAAUACUGACGCUGAGGUACGAAAGCAUGGGGAGCAAACAGGAUUAGAUACCCGUGUAGUCCCUGUCUCUUAUAC
rnacentral:rRNA from 1 species